UCUGCCACUGCUGCAUUCUUUAAAUAGAGAAAUAUACUGGUGCACGAUUAAUUAGUUUCCCUGUGGCUUCCGUAUCGGUCUUGCAGUGCAUCCUUGAAUAUGGCAUUUUGACUAUCUCGUUAGUUCCUCUUUCUAAGGCUCUUGUUUUCCUUGAAGAUAGCAAAGUUAGAAGAAGGGAAAUAAACAAGCCAACUGUCUCGUGAGAAGAGGAGACAAAAAAGGGGACAGAAAGUAACUUGAGGUCUAUUGCUUACUGACGUAUGCCUGCAUCAUGACAGGAAUAUGUAUGUGUAUGCAUUCUUUUCUCUUCCUCUUUCUUGUAGAAGUGUAUAAACAUCACGCUAUCCAUUUUUACUGCAGGGGAGUCUCUCCCGCUAACCUUGAUGGGUCCCCUCCGUCGUGCACUGUAUUCCUAGUGGGUUACGCGGUGGGAGCAGCUCUGUCGGUUCCUCUUCCCAGCAGGGUAUGACAGGAGCCAGAGAGAAGGGUUUGGGAAGAAGCAAAAGCCAACCAGCUUCGUGAGGUGACAAAAGCUUGAAGCAGCAAAAUGAAAAGUUAAAGGAACAGUUGCUGAGCUGAGGGCACACACUGACCCAUCUGCCCCACCUGUUCAAUACAGGACCUCCAUGCUUUUCCCCCAAUUCUCUUUUCUCCUGUGACUCUAUUUUCAUAGAAUUUACUAAGUUCCCUAAUCUCUUUAGGGUGACUGCUAAGAACGCCUCUUUGGCAAAUAUCUCCUUGAGGCUUUAUGUACUCGCUCGUGGAGGCUUUGGGUGCUACUAUAGAGGCCCAAUGGCCUCUAAGGCCCUGCUUCCACAAUUUGCCCACAAACUUGGGCAUAGAGAGCAAAAGGAGGGAUGGAAGCUUACAUUUUAUUCCAGGAUGAGCAGUCCAAAUGGUCAGACACAAGAUCUAUCCUGAUGGGCAGGCCAAAAUUCCUGCAUCUCUACCCCAUGGCUUCCCAGAUGGAUAUGCACCUUCCAGAUGAUUUUACUAUGAACCACUCCAUGAAGUGACUACUUGACACCAGCUCCAGACCAGCCUUACAGCUACCUCGUGUCUAGGGCCAGUCCCAAGCAGGAGAUUGGGUGUAUCAAAAAGUGCAUCAGAGGAAAGACUCUCUCUCCCCAAGGUGGAAAGGCCUGUACCAAGUGCUGUUAGUAGGUCACAGCAGUGCAAAGCUUGAAGGUCUGACCUCGUGGGUUCACCUAAGUCAUCUCAGGCGUGCUUCAGCUCCAACCCCAGAAGCAAGCACCACCAAGGACUUUGUUCCAGGCUCCCAGGAAGCAAGCAGAAGAAAAAAGAAGGGUGAAGUUUUGACUACGAAACCCCGAAGAGCUCUGAAGAUAAGUUUUAAUGGACUCUUGUGAGUUUAACUUUGACAUUCAGGCUCCUGCAGUUAUUUAGGUUGCUUUAUUAUACUGCUCUUUUUCUUUUCUUUUACUUUCUGCCUCACGGUAAAGCAAUGGCUCUAUCUACAUCUCUGUUCAUGUAGGUCAGUGUGGUUUAUUUGCAAUUGCCAGGAUAUAAGAUGCAACACCCACUAGACUGGUUGCCUACAACCAAUUCUUAUUUGACUUUAGUCCAUUCCAUAAUCUCCCCUGGAGAACCUCUUGUGUGCUCUCGAAGGAACAAAUUGGGGUUCUGUGCUCAAAACAUGUUUUGUAGGAGUACCUGAGCUGUUUUUCAACGUACUCCGUACUAUCACUACACUGCCCUCAACACAUAAGCCACUCAGCCUUGAUUACCUAGGGAAAACCCUUCUGCACUUUGAGUCUGCACCCACCAAACAUCAGGACCAACCAAGCAUUACACAGGGUAGAAGCAAAAGGCAAUUUGCCAGGGACCAACUCUGUGAGUGGUUGGUUGUAAUGACAGUAAGACAUGCUUUUCCCUACCAGCACUUGAAAAAUGUUCAGAGGUGAUAGAGCUUGGCUCUAUAAGAGUUCCUCACUAUUAACCAAAGGGCUGGUGUCUGUUAUAUAAAAACACUGCCUUUUCAUACUUCCCAGCACCUUCCUAGGGAGGCCCCUGCACAGUUGGACGUUUAACUUCAUUUCACGUAGUACCACUUAUCCAGAAUUACACUGAUCACAAACCCAGGUGAGUGCACAGAUAUCUCAUUGAGGGUACCCCACUUGACAAUGCCUGGGAUGACCACACAGGGCUAUUGAAUACUAGAGAUGUUUGUGGGCUUGCUAUAUCCUUAAUUGGAACAUCAGCUCUGACAAACUGUGCUUAUGUUGAUAUUGAAAUUAGCUUGUUUAGUGAUAAAGACCAUAAAUCUUCAAACACUAUAGAAGAGCAGGAACAGGUAAGGACAGCAAUCUUGCAAAGAUUGGCCAUUGACUCUGUGUUAUUCAAAAUGGCCCAUGGGUGCAAGGAAUUUCCAGGUAUGUGUUGCUUUAACCUGACUGACAAUUCUUUACAUGUAAAAGCCACUGCACAAGUUUUAAGGGAUCUGGCAAAACAGAUCACAGAACAAGCCCCCAGUAAUCAAUGGAAUUGGCUUACAUCUUGGUUGCCUCAGACGGGGAGGGUGAGAAAUUUGCCUAGCUCUUCUGGCCAGCAUAAUUAUAUUGCUUUGUACUGGGCAAUGUUUAACUGGUCUUUUUAGCAACUAUCUCCAGAAAAAGUGUAAGGCUAAAUGCAGUUCUCCAGUCUGACCUGGAAUUUGACUUUCUGAAGGUCAAAGGGGGGGAAGGACCGUGAGGAAAAUACA